AUGAACGCUGGCGGCGUGCCUAACACAUGCAAGUCGAGCGAAGCACUUACUUUAGAUUUCUUCGGAAUGACGAAGUUUGUGACUGAGCGGCGGACGGGUGAGUAACGCGUGGGCAACCUGCCCUGUACAGGGGAUAACAGUUAGAAAUGACUGCUAAUACCGCAUAAGCCCACAGCUUCGCAUGAAGCAGUGGGAAAAACUCCGGUGGUACAGGAUGGGCCCGCGUCUGAUUAGCUAGUUGGUAAGGUAACGGCUUACCAAGGCGACGAUCAGUAGCCGACCUGAGAGGGUGACCGGCCACAUUGGGACUGAGACACGGCCCAAACUCCUACGGGAGGCAGCAGUGGGGAAUAUUGCACAAUGGGGGAAACCCUGAUGCAGCGACGCCGCGUGAGCGAUGAAGUAUUUCGGUAUGUAAAGCUCUAUCAGCAGGGAAGAAAGUGACGGUACCUGACUAAGAAGCCCCGGCUAACUACGUG
rnacentral:rRNA from 1 species